UAGGGAAUAUUGGACAAUGGGGGCAACCCUGAUCCAGCCAUGCCGCGUGAGUGAAGAAGGCCCUCGGGUUGUAAAGCUCUUUUGUCCGGAAAGAAAAGCUUCGGGUUAAUACCCCGGGGUUCUGACGGUACCGGAAGAAUAAGCACCGGCUAACUUCGUGCCAGCAGCCGCGAUAAUACGAAGGGUGCAAGCGUUACUCGGAAUUACUGGGCGUGAAGCGUGCGUAGGUGGUUGUUUAAGUCUGAUGUGAAAGCCCUGGGCUCAACCUGGGAAUGGCAUUGGAAACUGGGCAGCUAGAGUGCGGUAGAGGGUAGUGGAAUUCCCGGUGUAGCAGUGAAAUGCGUAGAGAUCGGGAGGAACAUCUGUGGCGAAGGCGACUGCCUGGACCAGCACUGACACUGAGGCACGAAAGCGUGGGGAGCAAACA
rnacentral:rRNA from 1 species